CGCGCAGGCGGCCUUAGGAAGUCAGGCGUGAAAGCCCCGGGCUCAACCUGGGAGGUGCGCUUGAUACUCUGAGGCUGGAGUACGGGAGAGGAGAGUGGAAUUCCCAGUGUAGAGGUGAAAUUCGUAGAUAUUGGGAAGAACACCGGUGGCGAAGGCGGCUCUCUGGACCGUAACUGACGCUGAGGCGCGAAAGCGUGGGGAGCAAACAGGAUUAGAUACCCUGGUAGUCCACGCUGUAAACGAUGUGCGCUAGACGUUGGGGGCCCUAGGUCUCCGGUGUCGCAGCUAACGCGGUAAGCGCACCGCCUGGGGAGUACGGCCGCAAGGUUAAA
rnacentral:rRNA from 1 species